rnacentral:sRNA from 1 species
UCGGUAUAUUGAAACGUCGAGGCCGCUU